CCUACGGGUGGCUGCAGUGGGGAAUAUUGCACAAUGGGCGCAAGCCUGAUGCAGCCAUGCCGCGUGUGUGAAGAAGGCCUUCGGGUUGUAAAGCACUUUCAGCGGGGAGGAAGGCGUUAAGGUUAAUAACCUUGGCGAUUGACGUUACCCGCAGAAGAAGCACCGGCUAACUCCGUGCCAGCAGCCGCGGUAAUACGGAGGGUGCAAGCGUUAAUCGGAAUUACUGGGCGUAAAGCGCACGCAGGCGGUCUGUCAAGUCGGAUGUGAAAUCCCCGGGCUCAACCUGGGAACUGCAUUCGAAACUGGCAGGCUAGAGUCUUGUAGAGGGGGGUAGAAUUCCAGGUGUAGCGGUGAAAUGCGUAGAGAUCUGGAGGAAUACCGGUGGUGAAGGCGGCCCCCUGGACAAAGACUGACGCUCAGGUGCGAAAGCGUGGGGAGCAAACAGGAUUAGAUACCCGGGUAGUC
rnacentral:rRNA from 1 species